rnacentral:rRNA from 1 species
AGUGAACGCUGGCGGUAGGCCUAACACAUGCAAGUCGAACGGCAGCACAGUAAGAGCUUGCUCUUACGGGUGGCGAGUGGCGGACGGGUGAGGAAUACAUCGGAAUCUACUUUUUCGUGGGGGAUAACGUAGGGAAACUUACGCUAAUACCGCAUACGACCUACGGGUGAAAGCAGGGGAUCUUCGGACCUUGCGCGAUUGAAUGAGCCGAUGUCGGAUUAGCUAGUUGGCGGGGUAAAGGCCCACCAAGGCGCCGAUCCGUAGCUGGUCUGAGAGGAUGAUCCGCCCCACUGGAACUGGAACACGGUCCAGACUCCUAAGGGAGGCAGCAGUGGGGAAUAUUGGACAAUGGGCGGAAGCCUGAUCCAACCAUACCGCGUGGGUGGAAAAGGCCUUCGGGUUGUAAAGCCCUUUUGUUGGGAAAGAAAAGCAGCAGGUUAAUACCCCGCUGUUCUGACGGUACCCAAAGAAUAAGCACCGGCUAACUUCGUG